rnacentral:rRNA from 1 species
AUUGAACGCUGGCGGCAGGCCUAACACAUGCAAGUCGAACGAGUGGCGGACGGGUGAGUAAUGUCUGGGAAACUGCCUGAUGGAGGGGGGUAACUACUGGAAACGGUAGCUAAUACCGCAUACCAUCGGAUGUGCCCAGAUGGGAUUAGCUAGUAGGUGGGGUAAAGGCGCACCUAGGCCACGAUCCCUAGCUGGUCUGAGAGGAUGACCAGCCACACUGGAACUGAGACACGGUCCAGACUCCUCCGGGAGGCAGAAGUGGGGAAUAUUGCACAAUGGGCGCAAGCUUGAUGCGGCAAUGCCUCGUGGUUGAAGAAGGCCUUCGGGUUGUAAAGCACUUUCAGCGAGGAGGCGUUACUCGCAGAAGAAGCACCGGCUAACUCCGUGCCAGCAGCCGCGGUAAUAC